UAAGGUGCGAAGUGCAAAAAGUGAUAAUUAUAAUCACUUCCUUCCGCGUGGUUUAAAUUAAUUAAGAUCGUGUAGUCUGAUUAAUUGUACAAUGCGAUUUGCAUGAAGACACGAAGCUUCGAUUCUGAAGUUUUAUUUGCAUGUGAUAUUACGAUCGAUGUUUUACAUUAUAUUUCAUGUCGGGAUGGUUGUGAUUGCGUAACGAGAUCGGAGGUGUGUAGGUCGAUAUAAUCUUGAAUACUGACAACAUUAACCGUAGUAACUCUACACAACUGGAGUGUCACUCUGCGAGAGAGGAUUGAAACCGACUGGAGAUGUUUCAAAAGAAGGAAAAAAUUCUGUAUUUUAAGUAGGAGAAGAAAAAAAUACAAAUGUUAGCUUGAAAUUUGCGUCACGAUCUAGCGAAAAAUUAUGCUGAAGAACUGUGAUUGCGCAAUGACAAUUAAGGAGUACUCUUAAUUUUGUGUGAUGUAAGAGUAUAGUGAGUUAUGAACAAAUGCGCGAUCGCUAGUGGCAAAAAAACAGUCACCAAUUUAUGAUAAUCAACGUGAUUAUACAACAGAUGCAGCUAAAAAGGAGAAACUGAAAAAGGAAAAUCGUUAUUAAUUAAGAUGUGAAACAAAAAAAGAAAUCACGAAAUUUUCACUUGCCUUGAAGAAACGAGUUACGUGAAAUAAACCGUAGCGCUAUUGUUCUGUUAAAUUUGAAGUCGAGGUUGAAACCCCUCGAGUUUCUCCCUUAGAAAAUUAUUGCCGGCGAAUUUCAUUUUUAAUUAUGUGCUAAACUUUUAUUACGCUCAAAGGGAAAGGGUAACGUGCCUUGUUCCUCGGUGCAUGUAUACUCUCGUGCAAAGGCAAACGAAUUUUAAUUAUUUAUGCAUGGAAUUAAUCUGUAAUAUAUGCAACCAGAGGAAUAUCCCAAGGUAAUUAUGCAAAAGGAAGAGGUGAUUGGUAUAAUUAAUAUUAUUCAUAGACGAGUGAAUGUCGUGGAACGGUAUCGUAUGCGAUCGGCUACGUUUCCGUUCCUACACUCACGUCCACACAUACCUACAGUUCUCUGUAACACGUGCAACAACCGUAAACUUUUUGCAACUCAAAUCAAAAGUGCAUCAAAACUUACAUUACACGUUUUCCUUAAAUUUUGCUUAACUCCCUUAUUGAUGAAAAUAAAUAAAUUUUAUAUAAUUUAAAUUUAAAAGAAUUAUUGUACUCAUGAUAAUGGAAUGUAAUAGAGAUACGUUUAAAAAAUUGAGAACAAUAAAGUAGAAUGAACAUUUAUUACAAAUAGAAUUAUUUAAAUUAAACAUAGUAUCAUAGUUAAGAACGUUACCUAUUACAGCUAGUAUCAAUCUUUCAUGAAACGUAUAAAUUAGCAGAUUGUGGAGAAAGCAAACUAUCGAAGGUAAUUCAUCAGUCGGCGUGGAUGAAUCAUUGAACAUCUUAAUCCGACUGCGAUGUUCUCUAGCUUUCGCGUUACAUGGAACAAAGCCACGCGUCAAUUGAUAGUAUUGCAUAAUCUCAAGAAGAGUGCAUUAAUAGAAUAGCAUAAUAAGAAAAAUUGCGAUAAUGUUCGUCGGAGAACAUACGAUUAAUCGUCCUUCGUGUACAAUAAGCAGGCUUGCAAUCUGUAUUCGCACGAUGAUUUCACUGAAUGAAACCGAACGAUAAAAUUAUAGAAACGUUGAAAACCGAGGAUACCCUGUGCAUUAAACAUGGAAAGGAGAAUCGAAAGGAUUAAUUACCGUGCUAACUACGGAUGUCCAAGCAUACGAGUAAAGGAACUGUACAGACGAACGAAUCAAGAUCGUAUCUCGGAAGUUAACGUCACGUUUCAAGGUGCGAAACGCUUUCCAUCCAACGAGCUAAAUCAUUAAAUCUUCCAGUUAAUUACAUGGAAUACGCGGCAUUAAAAGCAUAUAAAUGUUUUCUAUGUACUAUUAUGAAUAUUAUGAAUAUAUGAUAUGAAUUAAUAGUGCACGAGUUGCACGUCUUUAUUAUGAGUAUACAAAUAAUGUGUGUCUUAAAGAACUCAUUGCGGUUCUAAAUUACCGAACAAAUAUUAUAAGUAUCAUUACGACUGACAUAGGUAUACCUCGAUGAUUAAUCUACAUUUAAAUACUCGCUCCUUCAUAUAGAAUGAUCGUUUUUAUCGUCUGUUUUACAUAACCGACGGCCUCGAGGUACACGAGGUAUGUACAUUACAAAAUAUCUCCCGUGGGAGGAUCGAUAUACCUAAGUGCCAAUGAUAAAUGA